UGGGGGGGGCCUCCAGACCCUUGCAUUUGCCAUUGAGGAUCUUCUCUGUCUAGCCUAGUAUUUACCUGAAACUUUCUUUUUCAGUUCGUGAGAAAUGCAGCACAUGUGAAUCUCAAUGUGAGCGUGGCUGGUGUGUGUCUUCUCUGUGCAGUGAUGGUGCCAAGCCCCUGCCCUGGCCAUCAGGAGAGGUGAUGCAGGAAGCGGUGAAGCCCUGGUCCUCCAUCCUCAUGUGGACGCUGCCCGUGACCCAGGGGCAGCGGUCACUGCCUGGUGGGAUUCCUGCCUGCAGGCGCCGGCCUCAGCUGUCCCACUGAGGAGGCUGCACCUCAGUUCCUCGUGGUAACUACCGUUAUGGCCCAGCCCAAUCAGUAGUGCUUGGCACAGCAAGGCAGAGGUGGUCUACUGGAAACACCGAUUUCCUUCCUGAAAGAAGAUUGUGGAUUUAAGCCUUUAUAGUAAACUUAGUCCACAAGGGGAGAUGCCCAGGUAGUAAGAGCUGCUCAGAGACAGCAUGGGACCCACAGGGAUACUCAGACCAGGUACUGAGGCUGUCCCACCCUCUGCACUGCCACGGGCCUGUGCAGACGAUCAGAAAUGUGUCUCCAUGGGGCAGGUAUGUGAGUAUGUGAAGGUCAUGCCGACUGAUGGAGCUCAUCUCCUGGGCUGUGUUAUUCCCACUGGAACCCAGACCACCCUGCCAUGCCGCCCCAGCCCCACAGAGGGCCUGCUCUCACUAGCCUCUCUCUGGGCUCCUCGUGGACAGUUCGCAUGCCCUAUGGUUCAGUAUUAGAGCAGCACUGGGACAGUGGGCUUGGAAGGGGCCCUGGUGUAGCCUGGAUUUGGCAUUGAUUUAAGGUGAGCUGGGAAAGGGGGUUUGUAAACCAUUUGGCCUGUCUUGAUUCCACCUUGUAUUUUCCACCUUGUAUUGCAGAGUGUUAAGGAAUACAAGAGAAUGAAUGAGCACACUGGCUGGCCCUGUCAAAAAAAAAAAAAAACCAAAAAAACCACAAGAACUGUGAGCUUGAGAUGCUUUGUAAGAAUAAGAAAUUGUUUGUGAUCUUCACAUAGUCUCUUAAAACUGUGUGUUUUCCUGAUUUCAAAUCAUAGAUGCUAGUUUUCAGUCCAGCACCAGGGAUAAUGCCUGUCAACUUUAUGGUGUACAUCCUUCCAGGAUUUUUGGUGGAACUGUUUUAGAACUGCCUUUUCUAUUUACUAUGACACAAGCACUUUCCCAUGUUACUAAUUAAUCUUUUACAAGUUACUGACCCAUAGUUUGUCUAGUGCUCUAUUCAUGGACAUUUAGUUUUAUUUCAGUUUUUUCCCCCCUGCUGUAAAUGGCACUGUGGUGAGCAUUCUUACAGGUACAUUGUUAGGUGCCCUCUCUGGUUUCCUUCGGCAGUUUCUUCCAGGGAGGUGGCUGAGUCCCAAGAGUAUGAACCUUUUAAAUUAUUUUAAGUCAUUAUUAUUAUUAUUCU